CGAUCAAGUAUCACAAACUGUCAAAAUUUCUUAUUAUUUUCCUAAUGAUAUAUAAAUCCAGCCAAAAAUUAACUGUGAAAGCGGAGGCAUAAAAUGUACCAAAUCUUUAUUGAGUUAUUAAAUAAAUAGAAAUCAGGUUUUGCUUUUUGAGCGUAUCCUCAAUGCGUAUCCUCUAAACAUGGACAAUAUGGUUCUCAAAGAUAAGACAUUAAUCGAUCAGCCAUUAACUAGUGGCUGACGAGCCAAUAACUUGCGGCUGAGCAGCCUAUAACUAGCGACUGUCCAGCUCAUAACUAGCGGCUGACCAACCUCUGUCUAGCGGCUGACCAGGCGGUCUGGUCUGGGGCUAGCCAGACAAAACGUUACACUUUUGGCCAGGCCCAGGCCAGAUUAUCUGGUCAGCGCCAGGGCUGCAAAUCUGGCGGUCUGGUCUAGGCCAGGCCAGCACCAGAACAUUUUUCCACAUGGCAUUUCAAAGAAUUUGGUUUCCUCUUUUCGACCAGCCGGAUUUAGAUGCAGGUUCAUAUAUGUAUCUUUUUGGUAAUGAUGGGAUUUCUUGUUUAAGAAGAAAGAAAAAGUGAUCUGAUGUCGAUGAUCGAUAAGUACUGCCAUGAACCGGUUAAGAUUACUGAUUCUUCGAAGACCGAAGGCUAAUUGACACGCGAAUGGUGCCAGAUUUUAUGACGUGGCUGACAGAAGAUGCAGACCUGUACAAUCGAAGACCGGCUAAGGGAUGACCACCCGCUAAGGGAUAAUUAAGCCUCCGCGGUUUGUCGCGCUAAUGAGGAGUUUAUCUCGAAACAUAUAAGACCGACGCUAAGGGCCUCUUCCUCAGAAUCAGAUCUCAUUUGUCUCUGAUUGACCCUCCGAUUGAAACCAUAAAUUUUAUUUCAGAUCCAGAAGAAAUCUACUUUCUUAUCAAUAAUUUCAUGCAACGAAAUCUGAGAAUGAAAAACAUUUACAAUUUGAAAUUAGAUUUCGAAACUACUUCCUUUUCGAGUCAUUAGAGAGAAAUACAUAACAAAGGGAAAAAAGAAAAAAAGAACGAGAAAAAGGAAAAAGUCAACCAAAAUCUACCUCUCACUCUUUCCUUAUUUUUUCUCCUUUUUUAUACUUCUAGGGCAGACUUGUCCACCGAGGAGAAAUUCCAGGAAUUUUCCUCGAGUUUUCCCCCGAUUUUUUU